AUUGAACGCUGGCGGCAUGCCUUACACAUGCAAGUCGAACGGUAACAGGUCUUCGGAUGCUGACGAGUGGCGAACGGGUGAGUAAUACAUCGGAACGUGCCCGAGAGUGGGGGAUAACGAGGCGAAAGCUUUGCUAAUACCGCAUACGAUCUCAGGAUGAAAGCAGGGGACCGCAAGGCCUUGCGCUCACGGAGCGGCCGAUGGCAGAUUAGGUAGUUGUGGGAUAAAAGCUUACCAAGCCGACGAUCUGUAGCUGGUCUGAGAGGACGACCAGCCACACUGGGACUGAGACACGGCCCAGACUCCUACGGGAGGCAGCAGUGGGGAAUUUUGGACAAUGGGCGCAAGCCUGAUCCAGCCAUGCCGCGUGCAGGAUGAAGGCCUUCGGGUUGUAAACUGCUUUUGUACGGAACGAAAAGACUCUGGUUAAUACCUGGGGUCCAUGACGGUACCGUAAGAAUAAGCACCGGCUAACUACGUGCCAGCAGCCGCCGUAA
rnacentral:rRNA from 1 species